rnacentral:lncRNA from 1 species
CAGGACUCUGUGACUGGGUUCCCAGCCAAGCAGCUUUCUCCAGUGAAGCCAGCCUCUGCCCUGGCCCUAUCUUUGAGAUAACAAGACACAAAAAUUGGUCUUGCCGUUUUUGCAAAGGCAGCAAAACAAUCAUGUGCCCCCCUCCUGCCUCUCCUUGCCCUGCCCCCUGCUCGGAGGGUCUGUUUGAGUCAGAAUUUAUCUCUAGGAAGGGCCCCAUCAAUUUGCCGUGCUCCUUUGUUGACAAGUUUAUUAAAAACCCAGGCAACUCUGUAUUAAACUUUUAUCAGUGUUAAGAAAAAAUACAGUUUUUUGACCAGACAGAAAAGUUCUGGAUUUGGGCUGAACCAGCCUUGCUGGCAUUAGCUGAGUCAGCAUUUCUGAUAAUAAGGAAAGGGGCUAUUUGGGGGCGAGGGUUGCUUUUGUCUUUUAAUUAUGAGUCUCUCCGGAGACCCUUGUGGGAUUCAGUACCCCCAAAUGGAGUCCCCCAUAGGUUCCCAGGGAGCAGUCCCAGCCAGGGCUGCUGAGACCCACUGGGCCAACCGUAAUUUUUUGCUAUCUAUUUUAAUAAUUUACCAAAAUCUAGAAUUAAAAAUUAAUUUUGUGGCGAAUCUGAGUGCUAAUAGGUAAUGGUGUUGUGUGGGGAAAUGCUAGGUUAUUGAUGGUUAAAUUAUAAAAGCUUCGUAGUAAAACACACAGAAAGCACCUGAUAUAGGCUGUCACGGAUUGGUGACAUCCUCCUGGGGCAGGAGAGGAAGGUGCUAAGGUCUGUUGAACCUCCCUGGUGCAGGGUGCCACCUUUACAGUGGGGUGAGCGGCUGGGCUGCAGUGGAGGGCCAAGGGUCUGCCCCAGCCUGUAUUGAGGGCCCUGCUCUGUGCCCCCGAGGGCAGCGUCUCUGGUGUGGCUGUGUGGCCAUCCUUGAGCAGAAGCUAUUUGAUGCCCCGUCUUCACAAACAUGCUGGUCACUAUGUCCACUGUGCUGGUGGACGUCUCCUCUGAGGUGCCUGUGUGGUUUGUUCUCAAGUGACGGCCAUUCCUAAUGUCUUGGGUGUGGCUGUGGGUACAGGAUGGGGAAGCACUGUCCUGCUGCCCUGGAGGGGCAAGCGGCCAGAGACCCCCUGCUUAGCCCUGACAGGCCAUGGAGUGACAGGGAUCGCAGCCGCACAGAGCUAGUACUCAUGCACAGGGUCACCAAGCUCAUGUGCCCACCCACUUCCCCUAUGCAGAACUGAGGCUCAGAGAGGCCAAGACCCUAAGGACGUCCAGCGUGGAGUGUGGUGCUCCAGAGCCCAAACUCACCCUCCAUCCAAGGGUCAGACCUGGGAACAGCCAACAUGCAGGGGUGGCCUGGUGCGGGCCACGGAGUUGAGAGCAGGCUGGAUGCCUCAGAAUUCUGGACUACCAAGGGGCCUCCCUACAGGGCCCAGCAGGGGCUUUGAAGCCACUUUCUAAAUGCAGCAGGGCUUCCUGGGCGAGGUGAGGCCACUCCUGGGGCUGGAGCU